rnacentral:rRNA from 1 species
UAAUACGUAGGGUGCAAGCGUUAAUCGGAAUUACUGGGCGUAAAGCGAGCGCAGGCGGUUAUGUAAGACAGAUGUGAAAUCCCCGGGCUUAACCUGGGAACUGCAUUUGUGACUGCAUGGCUAGAGUGUGUCAGAGGGGGGUGGAAUUCCACGUGUAGCAGUGAAAUGCGUAGAGAUGUGGAGGAACACCGAUGGCGAAGGCAGCCCCCUGGGAUAACACUGACGCUCAUGCUCGAAAGCGUGGGAGCAAACAGGAUUAGAUACCCUGGUAGUCCACGCCCUAAACGAUGUCUACUAGUUGUCGGGCCUUAAUUGGCUUGGUAACGCAGCUAACGCGUGAAGUAGACCGCCUGGGGAGUACGGUCGCAAGAUUAAAACUCAAAGGAAUUGACGGGGACCCGCACAAGCGGUGGAUGAUGUGGAUUAAUUCGAUGCAACGCGAAAACCUUACCUACCCUUGACAUGUCAGGAACCCUGCUGAAAGGU